rnacentral:rRNA from 1 species
UCAAACGAGGAAAGGCUUAUGGUGGAUACCUAGGCACCCAGAGACGAGGAAGGGCGUAGUAAGUGACAAAAUGCUUCGGGGAGAUAAAAAUAAGCAUAUAUCUGAGGAUUCCCAAUAGGUCAACCUUUCGAACUGCUGUUGAAUUCACGAGUAGGCAACAAACAACCUGGCGAACUGAAACAUCUUAGUAGACAGAGGAAAAGAAAGAAAAAGCGAUUCCCGUAGCAACAGCGAGCGAAAUGGGAGCAACCUAAACCGUGAAAACGGGAUUGUGGGAGAGAAAUACAAGAGUCGUGCUGCUAGGCGAAGCAGUCAAAUGUUUCACCCUAUAUGGUGAAAGUCCAGUAGCCGAAAGCAUCACUAGCUUAUGCUCUGACCCGAGUAACAUGGGGCACGUGAAAUCCCGUGUGAAUCAGCAAGGACCACCUUGCAAGGUUAAAUACUCAUGGGUGACCGAUAGUAAAGUAGUGUCAUGAGGGAAAGGUGAAAAGAAUCCCUGGCGGGGAGUGAAACAGAACAUGAAAUCGUAAGCUCCUAAGCUGUGGGAGGAGCUAGGGAUUUGACCGCGUGGUUGUUGAAGAAUGAGCCGACGACUCAUAGGCAGUGGCUUGGUUAAGGGAAACCACCGAAGACGUAGCGAAAGCAAAUCUUCAUAGGGCUAUUGGCACUACUUAUGGACCCGACCCUGGGUGAUCUAUCCAUGACCACGAUGAAGUUUAGGUGAAACUAAGUGGAUGCCUGAACUGACUGAUGUUGAAAAAUCAGUGGAUGAGUUAUGGUUAGCAGGGAAAUGUCAAUUGAACCCAGAGCUAGCUGAUUCUCCCUGAAAUGCAUUGAGGCACAACAGUUAACUGGACAUAUAUGGGUAAAGCACUGUUUCAGCGCAGGCCACGGGAGCGGUACAAAAUCGAGGCAAACUAUGAAUACUAGAUAUAACCCCGACGGGUCAAGGUCGGUCAGUGAGACGAUGGGGGAUAAGCUUCAUCGUCGAGAGGGAAACAACCCAAACCACCAGCUAAGGCACCUAAGUGAUCGCUCAAUGAUAAAGUAGGUAGGAGUGCAGAUACAUCCAGGAGGUUUUCCUAAAAGCAGCCACCCUUCCAAGAGUGCGUAAUAGCUCACUGAUCGAGCGCUCUUGCACCGAAGAUGAACGGGGCUAAGCGAUUUUCCGAAGUUGUGGGAUGUAAAAAUGAAUCGGUAGGGGAGUGUUCCACCUUAGAAAGAAGUACUCGCGCGAGCAAGGUUGGACGAAGCGGAAGUGGGAAUGUCAGCUUGAGUAACGAAAACAUUGGUGAGAAUCUAAUGCCCCAAAAACCUAAGGAUUCCUCCACAAGGUUUGUCCAUGGAGGGUAAGUCAGGACCUAAGAUCAGGCCGAAAGGAGUAGUCGAUGGGUAACAUGUUAAUAUUCUUGUACUACCCCUUGUUGGUCCCGAGGGACGGAGGAGGGUAGGUUAGUCGAAAGAUGGUUUUCGAUUCAAGAACAAAAGAUGACUCCUUGUUUUUUCUAGGGUAAGUAAGGGGUAGAGAAAAUUCCUCGAUCCAAAAUUCGAGUACAAGUAUGAGGCACACACUUUAGCGCUAAAGUAAUUGAUACCAUACUCCCGGGAAAAGUUCGAACAACCUACAACAAGAGGGUACAUGUACCGGAAACUGACACAGGAGGGUAGGUAGAUAAUACCUAGGGGCGCGAGUCAACUCUCUCUAAGGAACUCGGCAAAAUAGCCUUGUAACAUCAGGAAAAGGGAUGCCUCCUCACAAAGGGGGUCGUAGUGACUAGGCUCGGGCGACUGUUUACCAAAAACACAUGUCUCCACAAAUUCGUAAGACCAUGUAUAGGGGUUAAUGCAUGUCUAGUGCCGGAAGGUUAAGGAAGUUGGUGACUUGAUGAAAGGGAAACAAGAGACCGAAGCCUCAGUGAAUGGAAACCAUAACUAUUACGGUCCUAAGGUAGCGAAAUUCCUUGUCGGGUAAGUUCCGACCCACACGAAAGGUGUAACGAUCUGGGCAUUGUCUCGGAGAGAGACUCGGUGAAAUAGACAUGUCUGUGAAUAUGCGGACUACCUGCACCUGGACAGAAAGACCCUAUGAAGCUUCACU